rnacentral:tRNA from 1 species
GAGGGUAUAGCUCAGUGGUAGAGCAUAUGGUUAGAAUGCCCAAGGUCCUGGGUUCAAUCCCUAGUACCGCCA